UAUACCUCCUCCAUCUCUAGUUACACUGAAUCUCCCUCUUCCAGGUAUGAGCUGAGAAGUAAGAACUAUGAAAAAAUCUAUGGAUCUGGGUUACCUGCCAAUGCAGUUUGCUGCUGAUUGCUGGCUCCAGUCCCAUCUGACCCUGCAGUGCAUAAAAGCUUUGAAAGGUGGUGAGCAGGUGACUAUGGUGAAGAAGAAUACACAAAGGACUCUCCUGAAAAUGGAAAGGUGAAAACUCAAAUGCAGUUGUUUGUGGGAUUAAUAAUUGUAAAAUAAACUACACCAUAAUUGGAGGA
rnacentral:lncRNA from 1 species